rnacentral:rRNA from 1 species
AUUGAACGCUGGCGGCAGGCCUAACACAUGCAAGUCGAACGAGUGGCGGACGGGUGAGCAAUGUCUGGGAAACUGCCUGAUGGAGGGGGAUAACUACUGGAACCGGUAGCUACAACCGCAUACCAUCAGAUCUGCCCAGAUGGGAUUAGCUUGUUGGUGGGGUAAAGGCUCACCAAGGCGACGAUCCCUAUCUGGUCUGAGAGGAUGACCAGCCACACUGGAACUGAGACACGGUCCAGACUCCUACGGGAGGCAGCAGUGGGGAAUAUUGUACAAUGGGCGAAAGCCUGAUGCAGCCAUGCCGCGUGUGUGAAGAAGGCCUUCGGGUUGUAAAGUACUUUCAGCUGGGAGGCGUUACCCGCAGAAGAAGCACCGGCUAACUCCGUGCCAGCCGCCGCGGUAAUUC